GCCCUAAUCAACGUAAUCUCCAUCUCUUGAUAAUAUUCCUCUACAUUCUUUCCCCCUUGUACCAAACUUUGUAGCUUAUUGUACAACUCUCUAUAGUAAUGAGAAGGAACAAAGCGUUUAACAAAGCGUUUUCUCAUUAUUCAUUUCACUUCAGCCCAUGUUUGGAUCUCCCCCUCACCAUUCCUACGCCUAUUACUCACUAGUUGAUCCCACCAAAUUGCGGCAUAAUGGGUGAAUUCAACUACGGCCAAUUUUACUUUCUUCUCCUCACUAUAGUUAUGGCAUUCAAAUACCCUCUCAAUCUUCUUUUCCCACUCUAGAUACAACUCGGGAUCACUCUUACCUUAGAAGGAAGGAAUUGUAAGCUUAAUACUACCCAAGUUUGAAUCUACCUUAUUUCUCCCAUGGUGAGUUUCGGUUCUAUCUCCCCAUUCUUCUUCAUCUCUCCACGUUUCUCUCCUCGCUCUAGACAUACUUUCCUCAUCUCGAAAGCUCCUACCUCUCAAUUUAGAUUUGAUUUUUAUUAGUUCAUCCAUCAUUUCAGCAUACCUAUUUUCAUUAUCAAGCCAUUGUCGUUCAAGUUUGGAGUUUAUAGCCUCUAUGAAUGCUCCCAUAUUUGGAAUUUCGUGGUUGGAAUCUUUGGAAGAAGAUUGGUUAGACAUGGUUUCAAGAAGAUUGGUUUCUCCCUCACGUAUUUGCACUUAAUCAAAGAAAGAGUUUGUCUUUGUGCCCUUCAAAAUUAACUCAAAUUGUAAAAGUAAAAAUCACAACCAACUUAAUAAAAUACAAUUAACAAGCUAGAACAGAAAUUAAUUAAGCUAAAGAUGAAUUAGAGGAAAAGGAGAAUAAAAUAACGAACUAAGAAUAAGGAUGGAAGUAGAAGAAAUAUAGAAUAACAGAAUGAUAAAGAGGAAUAUAAGAAAUCGAAUAGGAAACAAUUAAGGAAAAGUAGAAUAGGAAAAGGAAUUGAAAAGAGAAGGUUAUGUGAUAUCUUCAAACCUGAUUUUCUUUGGAUUUUGACCUUGACCAAGUCAAUCUUUUUUUUUGAAUCAGCU
rnacentral:lncRNA from 1 species